CUGAAUAGGGGACGGACCGGGGAGGAGCUUGGGAGAGCGGGAGAGGAGAAGAAAUGGCGUCAAGAGUCAAGACAACAAAACUAUCUUCUAAACAACUCAACUGUAACCCGCCUUUAACCCACAGCCCUCCAAGUUGGACUGAGGUGAUGGCCGGAGGGGUGUGAGGGAGUGUCACAGCAUGUUAGCGACAAGGUUACACCAAUUUUGGAUCCCAAGGGGAGGGAGAAGUAUGGCGACAAGGCAGGAAACUACUGAUCCAGUUUUGGCAGGAGAUUCCCCGACUGGCAGCCCUCCAUGCUCGUGUUCCCGUGCAGAGGGAAGAACAGUUGGCGCCUCUCAAUAACUUAUAGCUCCAGUCGGGACGACGCAACGGAUCACGCCGCAAGGGUUGAGUAGCCCAAAGCGAGCAUACCUGGCAGAGAGGGGAAAAAAAAAAAAACAUAUAAUGAAUUUAAAAAAGAUAUUCUAACCUGGAGCCAUGAGUAGAUUUAUAUGCUUGACACGAGAGCGCGCCAUCAAUGUUGGCCGGAAUCCUAAUUCCCUGUCUCAGUGUAAUUUUGCCAUUAAUAUGAAUGUCGCCCAUGCUUAAUAUUUCACGCUGCUGCUGGAUAUUGUGAGCAUCUCAUAUAUCCUUCAAGGAUGUAUUAAUUAAUAAACUCGUUUCUGAGACUUUUUUUAGCCCCCUAACACCCCGAAACCCAA